rnacentral:rRNA from 1 species
UUGUUACGACUUCACCCCAAUCAUGAGUCAUACCUUGGGCGCUUGCCUCCUUGCGGUUAGCAUGGCGACUUCUAGUACAACCCACUUUCGUGAUGUGACGGGCGGUGUGUACAAGGCCCGGGAACGUAUUCACGGCGUCGUUCUGAUACGCCAUUACUAGCGAUUCCGGCUUCAUGCAGUCGAGUUGCAGACUGCAAUCCGAACUGAGCAUGGUUUUUCCCGAUUAGCUCCCCCUCACGGGUUCGCGACGGUUUGUACCAUGCAUUGUAACACGUGUGUAGCCCUGGACAUAAAGGCCGUGCUGACUUGACGUCAUCCCCACCUUCCUCUCCGUUAUCCGGAGCAGUCCUCUUAGAGUUCCCCCUUGCGGGUGGCAACUAAGAGUAGGGGUUGCGCUCGUUGCGGGACUUANCCCNACACCUCACGGCACGAGCUGACGACAGCCAUGCAGCACCUCUACCGGUGUCCC